rnacentral:rRNA from 1 species
CAAGAGCGUAUAUUGAAGUUGCUGCGGUCAAAAAGCUCGUAGUUGGAUUUCAGUCUAGGAAGGUUAACUCGCCGAAAGGUUGUACGUUGAUUUUCCUCAGACUUCGUCAGAAGCUCGUGCUGCACUUAACUGUGUGGUACGAUGUUCUGACCUUUUACCUUGAGGAAAGUAGAGUGUUUCAGGCAGGCUACCCAGCUUGAAUACAUUAGCAUGGAAUAAUGAAAUGGAUCUCGGUUCGAUUUCGUUGGUUCUAGAGCUGAGGUGAUGAUCAAUAGGAACAGGCGAAGGUAUUCGUACUUGAGAGUGAGGAGUGAAAUCCGAUGAUCUCUUAAAGACGAUCCGAGGCGAAAGCAUUUGUCAAGGAUGUUUUCAUUGA